CCUGGGACGAGAUCUUGGAAGCAGACGGCGAGGGCAAAUCUUUGCGACAAGAGCAGAACUUGGCUCGUGUUGGCAGCAGGAGCUGAGGAACCUCAUGGACCCUUUUUGGAUCUUAACUGGGACUGCCUAAGAGCAGCUUUGAGGCAGUAAUGACAGCACGGAGACGGUCACCGUGACCAAGAGGAGGGCUGGUGUGAAAAGAGGAUGAGCGCUCCGGGAAGCAGAACAGUGCUGUCUGGCUCCGUGUGGGCUUUAAUUUUAGCUCUGCUAUAAAGGUGCCAUUGCUGAGCAGCUCGUAGUGGGAAGGAUGUGCUGAGCUCAGGCUGAGCACUGAUGGACCCUCACUGUGUGCCAGCCCAGGGCUUGUGCUUUGUGUGCAAUGAGCCAAAGCCCAAGCAUCUGGUCUGCAGCUGGAGGUGUUCCUUGAUGGCAAAGGGCUUUCCCAGCAGUGAGGAGCUCGCUGGGAGCAGUUGGCCCACCGGUCCCAUCCUGAACUGUUUGUCCUUCUGAUCGUUAUCACCCUGUGUUUAUGAAGAGUCCAAGUCCUCAGACAUCACUAUGGCGAUCUUUAAACAUUGAAC
rnacentral:lncRNA from 1 species